rnacentral:pre_miRNA from 1 species
CACGUACUCCCUCCGUCCGAAAAUACUUGUCAUCAAAAUGGACAAAAAAGGAUGUACUAAAACUAAAAUACAUCUAAAUACAUCCCCUUUUAUUCAUUUAGAUGACAAGUAUUUCCGGACAGAGGGAGUACAUG